rnacentral:rRNA from 1 species
GUAGGGUGCAAGCGUUAUUCGGAAUUACUGGGCGUAUAGGGUGCGUAGACGGCUCAUUAAGUCGGUUGUUAAAUAUCCCGGCCUAACCGGGAAAAUGCGGUCGAUACUGAUGAGCUAGAGGGUGGAAGAGAGAAGUGGAAUUCUCGGAGUAGCGGUAAAAUGCGUAGAUAUCGAGAGGAACACCAAUGGCGAAGGCAGCUUCUUAGUCCACUCCUGACGUUGAGGCACGAAAGCGUGGGGAGCAAACAGGAUUAGAUACCCUGGUAGUCCACGCUGUAAACGAUGAUCACUAGACGUUGGUUUUGCUUAGCAGAAUCAGUGUCGCAGCUAACGCAUUAAGUGAUCCCGCCUGGGGACUACGGUCGCAAGCUA